rnacentral:rRNA from 1 species
ACGAACGCUGGCGGCUGCUUAACACAUGCAAGUCGAACGGAGUGGCGAACGGGUGAGUAACGCGUGAGCAACCUGCCUAUGACAGUGGGAUAGCCUCGGGAAACCGGGAUUAAUACCGCAUAGUCAUAGAUGGGCUCGCGGCUGAUUAGCCAGUUGGUGAGAUAACAGCCCACCAAGGCGACGAUCAGUAGCCGGUCUGAGAUGAGGAACGUCCACAUUGGAACUGAGACACGGUCCAAACUCCUACUGGAGGCAGCAGUGGUGCAUAUUGCACAAUGGGGGAAACCCUGAUGCAGCGACGCCGCGUGAACGAAGAAGGUAUUCGUAUCGUAAAGUUCUGUCCUAUGGGAAGCAGUACCCUAGAAGAAAGCUCCGGCUAAAUACGUGCCAGCAGCCGCGGUAAUUC